UACGUAGGGUGCAAGCGUUAUCCGGAAUUAUUGGGCGUAAAGAGCUCGUAGGCGGCUUGUCGCGUCGACUGUGAAAUCCCGCGGCUCAACUGCGGGUCUGCAGUCGAUACGGGCAGGCUAGAGUUCGGUAGGGGAGACUGGAAUUCCUGGUGUAGCGGUGAAAUGCGCAGAUAUCAGGAGGAACACCAAUGGCGAAGGCAGAUCUCUGGGCCGUAACUGACGCUGAGGAGCGAAAGCAUGGGGAGCGAACAGG
rnacentral:rRNA from 1 species